rnacentral:rRNA from 1 species
CAAAGGAAUUGACGGGGCCCGCACAAGCGGUGGAGCAUGUGGUUAAUUCGACGCAACGCGAAGAACCUUACCAGGGCUUGACAUCCCCUGACCGCGUAUGAAAGUACGUUUUCACCCUCGGGUGACAGGGAGACAGGUGGUGCAUGGUUGUCGUCAGCUCGUGUCGUGAGAUGUUGGGUUAAGUCCCGCAACGAGCGCAACCCCUACGUUUAGUUGCUAACAGGUGAAGCUGAGCACUCUAGACGAACUGCCGUUGACAAAACGGAGGAAGGUGGGAUGACGUCAAAUCAUCAUGCCCCUUAUGUUCUGGGCUACACACGUGCUACAAUGGCCGGUACAGACGGAGGCGAAGCCGCGAGGCGGAGCAAAUCCGAAAAAGCCGAUCUCAGUUCGGAUUGCAGGCUGCAAUUCGCCUGCAUGAAGUCGGAAUCGCUAGUAAUCGCAGGUCAGCAUACUGCGGUGAAUACGUUCCCGGGCCUU